GAGUAGUAAGAGGUGAUCUUGAAACUUAAAAUUUUUGGCGGUUUUUUAAGCUGUUUAGAGGAACCUGUCCUGUAAUAGAUAGUCCACUAUUGAUUUAACUUUAGAAAUUGGUUUAUAUACCUCCGUCGUAAAGUAAAUUUUUUAGAAUUUAUUGAGAUUUUUUUGAAAAGAUGACAGGUCAAGGUGUAGCUAAUAUUAAAGGGUGAGAUGGGUUACAGUACUUAAUUGGUAUACGGAAAUUAUAUUAGAAUAUUUUUGUUUGAAGGUGGAUUUAAAAGUAAUUUUAAAGAUUAAGAUGCUAAAGUGAAGGUAUAGCUCUGAAAAAUGU
rnacentral:rRNA from 1 species